UACAGAGGUCUCAAGCGUUGUUCGGAUUCAUUGGGCGUAAAGGGUGUGUAGGUGGCGCGCUAAGUCGGGUGUGAAAUUUCGGAGCUUAACUCCGAAACUGCAUUCGAUACUGGCGUGCUUGAGGACUGGAGAGGAGACUGGAAUUCAUGGUGUAGCAGUGAAAUGCGUAGAGAUCAUGAGGAAGACCAGUGGCGAAGGCGGGUCUCUGGGCCGAUACUGACGCUGAGGAGCGAAAGCGUGGGAGCAAACAGG
rnacentral:rRNA from 1 species